AUACGUAGGGGGCAAGCGUUAUCCGGAUUUACUGGGUGUAAAGGGAGCGUAGACGGUUUGGCAAGUCUGAUGUGAAAGCCCGGGGCUCAACCGCGGGACUGCAUUGGAAACUGUCAGACUUGAGUGCAGGAGAGGUAAGUGGAAUUCCUAGUGUAGCGGUGAAAUGCGUAGAUAUUAGGAGGAACACCGGUGGCGAAGGCGGCUUACUGGACUGUAACGGACGUUGAGGCUCGAAAGCGUGGGGAGCAAACAGGAUUAGAUCCCCUGGUAGUCCACGCCGUAAACGAUGAAUACUAGGUGUUGGGAGACAAUAGUUUCUCGGUGCCGCAGCAAACGCAAUAAGUAUUCCACCUGGGGAGUACGUUCGCAAGAAUGAAACUCAAAGGAAUUGACGGGG
rnacentral:rRNA from 1 species